ensembl:lncRNA
UGUACAUGCUGUGCUGACCAAGGGCUGGCUUUCCUCUGUGGCCCACUCCUAGAACUGAGCAAUCAGAUAUUCCCAUUGUUGGUGAACUCAUCAACCUUGGUGAACCCAAAGAUUUGCUUGAGCAACCUGGGUUAUAGGAAAAGAAGAUGAAAGCCGAAGAACUCUGCAAAGAUCCAAGCUCAGCCUCUCACUUAAUCAUCUUCUUUAUGGGAGGAAUAAAUGACUUCAGAGUCAAUGUGCCGAGGGCAUCCAAAGUCCUUCUGAGCUGGUGCACUUUGAGACUGAGGAACUUGAAUCGCAAACCCCUGGGGGGCCCAGGACUUAUCUUCUUUAUCUCUUGUAAAGGGCUGAACAGACUGUGGGUAUUCAACAAGUAAUAAAUAACGCCAUAUUCUAUAUCAACGGCAAGUGCAGUCUAGUUGGGAAAAGCCGAUUCUGAUAAAAAUCAAGGUCCAAGCAUCACCCAAGCCUUGGAUUUCAUCCAAAUGUGACCUCGUGGGAAGACUUUUUGAAAAUCGAGAGGAAGGAGGGAAGGAAGCAGGAAGAGAGCUUGAACCCACUCCAGGGGUGUAUUAAGUCGAACAGCUUCGAAGCAUGGGGCAGCCUCGCCUGCAGCCCAGUUUCUCCGGAGAAGAGUCA